UACGUAGGGACCGAGCGUUGUCCGGAAUCAUUGGGCGUAAAGAGCGUGUAGGCGGUCCGAUAAGUCCGCUCUGAAAGCCCGGGGCUCAACCCCGGGAGGCGGGCGGAUACUGUCGGGCUAGAGUCCGGAAGAGGCAAGUGGAAUUCCUGGUGUAGCGGUGAAAUGCGCAGAUAUCAGGAGGAACACCAAUGGCGAAGGCAGAUCUCUGGGCCGUAACUGACGCUGAGGAGCGAAAGCAUGGGGAGCGAACAGG
rnacentral:rRNA from 1 species